UCACAGACACUGAUAACACGUAGGGCCUUGUAUCUCAGAUUUAACAUUGUUAAACGAUCCCUUUAAAUAGAACAGUUUAUCAACCUUUUUAUGAGCCCUACCCUGAGGAGUGGGCAGCAAGGUGGCUAUCUGUUCCCUCAUAAAGUGCAUUACUAGGUGUGGUCCUACUCUCAGGUACCACAUGACUAAUGUGUUUAUCUUUCAAGCAGAUAUGAAAGAAUUGCCUUAUAUGGCCAUUUGUGUGUGAUGUCUGAGUUGUGUGGGAGUAAUUUAGCAAGUAUUUGCAUGUCAUAUGUGGACAUGUAUGGGGGCUGUGGAAUUUCUUUUUAGGUUUUGUUGUUUGUUUAUAAAUUUGUGUUGAUUGCCCUCUAAUCUACUUAAUUUAUUUGCAAAAUCUUUUUUGUUUACUUUUGGGUUUAAUAUUUGAUUAUUCUUUAAAGGAAAACUCAUCCCAAGAAAAUAACUUUAGUUAUUCUGAGAGGUUCAUUUUAUUCUAAAAGAUUAAGUUGCCACCAAUGUAUGAGACAUAAAAAGCAAGGUAUUCAUAGCAUACAGUGUAUAUGUUAAAUACAGUUUUCUCAUCAUGAUUUUGGGCAUUACCAUUUUCUUGAUAACAUGACAAUUACAUAUAGCAAAGUCCUUUAUCAAUUACAUGUUUUCAAGUUCAUGGAUGCUGAAUUCCCAAGUGUGUGUGGUGAUGCAGUAUUUCAUUCACCUGCUAUUAUCUUUUGUACUACAAUUUUUAGAACGCAUAAAGAUGUAAGUUGUUGCACUUCUUGGGUGAAGUUUGGCAUAAAUUGAAUAGAUUUGUCAACUGCUAUAAUUAAUUUUUAGUAUUUUAUUAAAUAAGUGAGUUUUAAUUGUUCCCCUGUUUAUAUAUAUUUUCACUAAAUAUGAAUUCUUCUUUUUCAGCUAUGAUUUUCCUUCAUUGAAAAGUAAAGGUCUUGUUAUUGAACUAAAAAGUCUUUCCAACUACAUGUAGGACUUGGUGCGUAGGUGGUACAAGCAGGGAUAUCCCUGCUACAAGUUUGUCUGGUACAAAUAUGUCACAUUAGCAAGAAAAUGGCUAGGCCCAUGUCUGCUGAAAAGCAUUACAUCAUGCCAAUAAUAUUCUCAUUUAUAUAUCUCUUGUACAUUUUUGUGUACAUCAAAAGGCAGGAGUAACUCUCAUCAAUCUCUUAGCACAUCUACACAUAUUCUUCGGGGUGAGGUUUCCUUUAAUGAUGAAGAGCUUAACUGGAAAGAAGAUGCCAAUCUGUUUGCAAUCAUAAGCAAAAGAAAGAAUUUGUAACUUAUAAUAAUGUUAUGAAAUAUUAUACUCAUUGAUAACAAUGGUAGGCCUAAGUAAAUAGAACAGUGAUUGAACUUACAGUGUGUUUACACUUUCUAUAUUGACAAUAUAGUGAAUAUCCAAGCAAUUUGACACUUAGAUGAUUUUAAAUGUCAAAGCUGUUUCGUAUUACUGUUUGCAUUUCUUUUUGAUGAGCAAGAAAAUAUGCCAAACACUAAAAUGACAUGAAAUCUAUGUUUCGUGAACACCAGCAAUAAAAUGUUACUACUGUACACUAUUAUCAGUAUGAAAAAUGUGUCAUUUUAUCUAUAAUUGUGCUUCAAACUGAGAAAAUGAUAUUAUUUAGUAUCAAAGAAGGGAUUUCUUGUUCCACUUCCAACAAAUCAUCUAUUUUCUUAUUGUGAAAAGUAUACAUCUUUUGUGUGAAAAUUCCAGCUAUUUUCAUCCAUUCCAACCCUGCACCAAGUCAGUCACUCGAAACCGAACAUUGUAAUAUUCAACAAAAGCUGUUUACCUCACGAGUUUUGCUUUC